rnacentral:rRNA from 1 species
UGAGUAACCUGCCCCAAACUCUGGGAUAAAGCACUGGAAACGGUGUCUAAUACCGGAUACGAGCUUCAGCCGCAUGGCUAGGAGUUGGAAAGAAUUUCGGUUUGGGAUGGACUCGCGGCCUAUCAGCUAGUUGGUGAGGUAAUGGCUCACCAAGGCGACGACGGGUAGCCGGCCUGAGAGGGUGACCGGCCACACUGGGACUGAGACACGGCCCAGACUCCUACGGGAGCAG